rnacentral:rRNA from 1 species
UGUCUUGACCGUGCAAAGGUAGCAUAAUCAAUUGUCUUUUAAUUAAAGGCUGGAAUGAACGGUUUGAUGAGAUAAAAUCUAUUUUUAUUUUAUUAAAAUGAAUUUAAAUUUUUAGUAAAAAUGCUUAAAUAAAAUAAUUAGACGAGAAGACCCUAUAAAUCUUUAUUUUAUAUUAUUAUAAUUUAUUAAGAAGUUUUUAUUUUUUAAUAAAAAAAAAUUUUAUUGGGGUGAUAAUGAAAUUUAAUAAACUUUUAUUUUAUAGAUUAAAAUUUAUGAUUUUUUUAAUUGAUCCAUUAUUAGUGAUUAAAAAUUUAAGUUACUUUAGGGAUAACAGCGUAAUUAUUUUAGAGAGUUCAUAUCGAUAAAAUAGAUUGCGACCUCGAUGACAAUGCAUGAGGUGGAAAAUCGCCAUCAUGACGUCA